UUGAACUUGAGUUUGUUUCGUGUUUGAUCUUGAGGUUGUGGUGUUUUUGGACUUGAGGUUGCUUGUUUGUUUAACUUGAGUUUGUGUGUUUUUUGAACUUGAGUUUGUUUUUUUUUUUAACUUGAGGUUGUGGUUUUUGAACUUCAGUUUGUGGCAAUUUUUAAACUUGAGGAUUGGGUGGUGGUUGAACUUGAGUUUGUGGUGUUUUUUUGAACUUGAGGUUGUGGUGUUUUUGACUUGAGUUCGUGGCGUGUUUGAACUUGAGGUUGUUGCAUUUGUUAAACUUGAGAUUUGGGUGUUGGUUGAACUUAAAACUUUUCCAUUUGUUGAACUUGAGUUUGUGGUGUUUUUUGAACUUGAGGUUGUGAAAAUUGUUAAAACUUGAGAAUCAGGUGUUGGUUGAACUUGAGUUUGUGGUUUUUGUUGAACUUGAUUUUGUGCUUUGUUUGAACUUUAGUUUAUGGGGUUUUUUUGUACUUCAGUUUGUGUUGUUUUUGAACUUGAGGUUGUGGAAAUUGUAAAAACUUGAGAAUCGGGUGUUGGUUGAACUUGAGUUUGUGGUUUUUGUUGAACUUGAGUUUGUGUAGUUUUUGAGCUUGAGGUUGUGGUGUUUUUGAACUUGAGUUUGCGUGUUUGUUGAACUUGAGUUUGUGUGUUUUUUUAACUUGAGUUUGUUGUUUCUGAACUUGAGGUUGUGGCAAUUGUUGAACUUGAGUCUGUUGUUUUUAGUGAACUUUAGUUGGUGGCAAUUGUUGAACUUGAGUUUGUGGCAUUUGUUGAACUUGAGUUUGUGACGUGUUUAAACAUGAUUUUGUGGUGUUUUUGAACUCGAGUUUGUGGUGUUUUUGAACUUGAGGUUGUGGAAAUUGUUAAACUUGAGAAUUGGGUAUUGGUUGAACUUGAGUUUGUGUUGUUUUUGAACUUCAGGUUGUGUAGUGUUUGAACUUGAGUUUGUGGUGUUUUUUGAGCUUGAGGUUGUGGUGUUUUUGAACUUUAGUUUGUGGCGUGUUUGAACUUGAGGUUGUGGAAAUUGUUAAACUUGAGAAUCAGGUGUUGGUUGAACUUGAGUUUGUUUCAUGUUUGAUCUUGAGGUUGUGGUGUUUUUGAACUUGAGGUUGCUUGUUUGUUUAACUUGAAUUGUAUGUUUUUUGAACUUGAGUUUGUGGUUUUUUUUAACUUGAGGUUGUGGUUUUUUGAACUUCAGUUUGUGGAAAUUGUUAAACUUGAGAAUCGGGUGUUGGUUCAAUUUGGGUUUCUGUUGUUUUUGAACUUGAGGUUGUGGAAAUUGUUAAACUUGAGAAUCAGGUGUUGGUUGAACUUGAGUUUGUGGUGUUUUUGAACUUGAGUUUGUGUGUUUGUUGAUCUUGAGUUUGUGGUGUUUUUGAACUUGAGUUUGUUUUUUUUAACUUGAGAUUGUGGAAAUUGUUAAACUUGAGAUUUGGUUGUUGGUUGAACUUAAAAGUUUGACAUUUGUUGAACUUGAGUUUGUGUCGUGUUUGAACUUGAGGUUGUGGUGUUUUUGAACUUGAGGUUGUGGUGUUUUUGAACUCGACUAUGUGUGUUUGUUGAACUUGAGUUUUUGGCGUGUUUGAACUUGAGUUUGUGGUGUUUUUUGAACUUGAGGUAUUGGCUUUUUUGAACUUGACCUUGUGGAAAUUUUUGAACUUUAGGAUCGGGUGUUGGUUGAACUUGAGUUUGUCGUGUUUGUUGAACUUGAGUUUGUGUUGUGUUUGAACUUGAGUUUGUGUUUUUUUAUCUUGAGUUUGUUGUUUCUGAACUUGAGGUUGUGGCAAUUGUUGAACUUGAGUCUGUUGUUUUUAGUGAACUUUAUUUGGUGGCAAUUGUUGUACUUGAGUUUGUGGCAUUUGUUGAACUUGAGUUUGUGACGCGUUUAAACAUGAUUUUGUGGUGUUUUCAAACUCGAGUUUGUGGUGUUUUUGAACUUGAGGUUGUGGUAAUUUCUAAAAUUGAGAUUUGGGUGUUGGUUGAACUUAAAAGUUUGACAUUUGUUGAACUUCAGUUUGUGGUUUUUGUUGAACUUGAGUUUGUGUCGUGUUUGAAGUUGAGGUUGUGGUGUUUUUGAACUCGAGUUUUUGUGUUUGUUGAACUUCAGUUUGUGGAAAUUGUUAAACUUGAGAAUCGGGUGUUGGUUCAAUUGGGGUUUCUGUUGUUUUUGAACUUGAGGUUGUGGAAAUUGUUAAACUUGAGAAUCAGGUGUUGGUUGAACAUGAGUUUGUGUGUCUGUUGAACUUGAGUUUUUGUCGUGGUUGAACUUGAGUUUGUGGUGUUUUUGAACUUGAGUUUGUGUGUUUGUUGAUCUUGAGUUUGUGGUGUUUUUGAACUUGAGUUUGUUUUUUUUAACUUGAGAUUGUGGAAAUUGUUAAACUUGAGAUUUGGUUGUUGGUUGAACUUAAAAGUUUGACAUUUUUUGAACUUGAGUUUGUGUCGUGUUUUAACUUGAGGUUGUGGUGUUUUCAAACUCGAGUUUGUGGUGUUUUUGAACUUCAGGUUGUGGAAAUUGUUAAAGUUGAGAAUUGGGAAUUGGUUGAGCUUGAGGUUGUGGUGUUUUUGAACUUGAGUUUGUGGCGUGUUUGAACUUGAGGUUGUGGUGUUUUUUGACUUGAUGUUGCUUGUUUGUUUAACUUGAGUUUGUGUGUUUUUUGAACUUGAGUUUGUGGUUUUUUUUAACUUGAGGUUUUGGUUUUUGAACUUCAGUUUGUGGAAAUUUUUAAACUUGAGGAUUGGGUGGUGGUUGAACUUGAGUUUGUGGUGUUUUUUUGAACUUGAGGUUGUGGUGUUUUUGACUUGAGUUCGUGGCGUGUUUGAACUUGAGGUUGUUGCAAUUGUUAAACUUGAGAUUUGGGUGUUGGUUGAACUUAAAACUUUUCCAUUUUUUGAACUUGAGUUUGUGUUAUUUUUGAACUUGAGUUUGUGAAAAUUGUUAAAACUUGAGAAUCAGGUGUUGGUUGAACUUGAGUUUGUGGUUUUUGUUGAACUUGAUUUUGUGCUUUGUUUGAACUUUAGUUUAUGGGUUUUUUGUACUUGAGGUUGUGUUGUUUUUGAACUUGAGGUUGUGGAAAUUGUAAAAACUUGAGAAUAAGGUGUUGGUUGAACUUGAGUUUGUGGUUUUUGUUGAACUUGAGUUUGUGUAGUUUUUGAGCUUGAGGUUGUGGUGUUUUUGAACUUGAGUUUGCGUGUUUGUUGAACUUGAGUUUGUGUGUUUUUUUAACUUGAGUUUGUUGUUUCUGAACUUGAGGUUGUGGCAAUUGUUGAACUUGAGUCUGUUGUUUUUAGUGAACUUUAGUUGGUGGCAAUUGUUGAACUUGAGUUUGUGGCAUUUGUUGAACUUGAGUUUGUGACGUGUUUAAACAUGA
rnacentral:lncRNA from 1 species